GAUGAACGCUGGCGGCGUGCUUAACACAUGCAAGUCGAACGGUGAAGCCGGAGCUUGCUCUGCUGGACCAGUGGCGAACGGGUGAGAAACACGUGAGAAAUCCGCCCCUGACUGUGGGAUAAGCGCUGGAAACGGCGUCUAAUACUGGAUACGAGCUGCGGAGGCAUAUUCAGCAGCUGGAAAGAACCUCGGUCAGGGAUGGGCUCGCGGCCUAUCAGCUUGUUGGUGAGGUUAUGGCUCACCAAGGCGACGACGGGUAGCCGGCCUGAGCGGGUGACCGGCCACACUGGGACUGAGACACGGCCCAGACUCCUACGGGAGGCAGCAGUGGGGAAUAUUGCACAAUGGGCGAAAGCCUGAUGCAGCAACGCCGCGUGAGGGACGACGGCCUUCGGGUUGUAAACCUCUUUUAGCAGGGAAGAAGCGAAAGUGACGGUACCUGCAGAAGAAGCGCCGGCUAACUACGUG
rnacentral:rRNA from 1 species